GCUGCAGGCUUGAAUACCUGUCAUAAAGGCCUGAGUAGAAAAAGAAUCCUAUACUUUCUGGAAAUUCUCAUAUGGCUGAACAUACUGGAGGGUUCAGGAGGUCCCCCUGCACUCAGAUUCUAUUCGCUUAAACUGUUUGGACACCAACCACGUGAAAAGGAACUCAUCCAAGAAUGGAUUAUAGCCAACAACUCUGACAUGAAGACACAGGAGCGGCAACAUUUCAGGACUUCUUGGGUGGAAGAAAGUUGGCAGAGAGAAAGUCCAUAGUUAAUGAAGUUACCGUUGCCUCCAGGAUUAAGGGGACAUGUUUCCUCUAAUAAAUCAAAGAUCAUCAGGUAAAACA
rnacentral:lncRNA from 12 species